GCGUGAGUGAAGAAGGCCUUAGGGUUGUAAAGCUCUUUCACCCGUGAAGAUGAUGACGGUAGCGGGAGAAGAAGCCCCGGCUAACUCCGUGCCAGCAGCCGCGGUAAUACGGAGGGGGCGAGCGUUGUUCGGAAUUACUGGGCGUAAAGGGCGCGUAGGCGGAUGAUCAAGUCAGGGGUGAAAGUCCUGGGCUCAACCUGGGGACUGCCUUUGAAACUGAUUGUCUUGAGACCGGGAGAGGAUGGCGGAAUUCCCAGUGUAGAGGUGAAAUUCGU
rnacentral:rRNA from 1 species